rnacentral:rRNA from 1 species
UACAGAGGUCUCAAGCGUUGUCCGGAAUUAUUGGGCGUAAAGAGCUUGUAGGCGGUUUGUCGCGUCUGCUGUGAAAUUUCGGGGCUCAACCCCGAACUUGCAGUGGGUACGGGCAGACUAGAGUGUGGUAGGGGAGACUGGAAUUCCUGGUGUAGCGGUGAAAUGCGCAGAUAUCAGGAGGAACACCGAUGGCGAAGGCAGGUCUCUGGGCCACUACUGACGCUGAGAAGCGAAAGCAUGGGGAGCGAACAGG